AGAGUUUGAUCAUGGCUCAGAUUGAACGCUGGCGGCAGGCCUAACACAUGCAAGUCGAGCGGAUGAAGGGAGCUUGCUCCUGGAUUCAGCGGCGGACGGGUGAGUAAUGCCUAGGAAUCUGCCUGGUAGUGGGGGAUAACGUCCGGAAACGGGCGCUAAUACCGCAUACGUCCUGAGGGAGAAAGUGGGGGAUCUUCGGACCUCACGCUAUCAGAUGAGCCUAGGUCGGAUUAGCUAGUUGGUGGGGUAAAGGCCUACCAAGGCGACGAUCCGUAACUGGUCUGAGAGGAUGAUCAGUCACACUGGAACUGAGACACGGUCCAGACUCCUACGGGAGGCAGCAGUGGGGAAUAUUGGACAAUGGGCGAAAGCCUGAUCCAGCCAUGCCGCGUGUGUGAAGAAGGUCUUCGGAUUGUAAAGCACUUUAAGUUGGGAGGAAGGGCAGUAAGUUAAUACCUUGCUGUUUUGACGUUACCAACAGAAUAAGCACCGGCUAACUUCGUGCCAGCAGCCGCGGUAAUACGAAGGGUGCAAGCGUUAAUCGGAAUUACUGGGCGUAAAGCGCGCGUAGGUGGUUCAGCAAGUUGGAUGUGAAAUCCCCGGGCUCAACCUGGGAACUGCAUCCAAAACUACUGAGCUAGAGUACGGUAGAGGGUGGUGGAAUUUCCUGUGUAGCGGUGAAAUGCGUAGAUAUAGGAAGGAACACCAGUGGCGAAGGCGACCACCUGGACUGAUACUGACACUGAGGUGCGAAAGCGUGGGGAGCAAACCGGAUUAGAUACCCUGGUAGUCCACGCCGUAAACGAUGUCGACUAGCCGUUGGGAUCCUUGAGAUCUUAGUGGCGCAGCUAACGCGAUAAGUCGACCGCCUGGGGAGUACGGCCGCAAGGUUAAAACUCAAAUGAAUUGACGGGGGCCCGCACAAGCGGUGGAGCAUGUGGUUUAAUUCGAAGCAACGCGAAGAACCUUACCUGGCCUUGACAUGCAGAGAACUUUCCAGAGAUGGAUUGGUGCCUUCGGGAACUCAGACACAGGUGCUGCAUGGCUGUCGUCAGCUCGUGUCGUGAGAUGUUGGGUUAAGUCCCGUAACGAGCGCAACCCUUGUCCUUAGUUACCAGCACCUCGGGUGGGCACUCUAAGGAGACUGCCGGUGACAAUCCGGAGGAAGGUGGGGAUGACGUCAAGUCAUCAUGGCCCUUACGGCCAGGGCUACACACGUGCUACAAUGGUCGGUACAAAGGGUUGCCAAGCCGCGAGGUGGAGCUAAUCCCAUAAAACCGAUCGUAGUCCGGAUCGCAGUCUGCAACUCGACUGCGUGAAGUCGGAAUCGCUAGUAAUCGUGAAUCAGAAUGUCACGGUGAAUACGUUCCCGGGCCUUGUACACACCGCCCGUCACACCAUGGGAGUGGGUUGCUCCAGAAGUAGCUAGUCUAACCGCAAGGGGGACGGUUACCACGGAGUGAUUCAUGACUGGGGUGAAGUCGAAACAAGGUA
rnacentral:rRNA from 1 species